AAAGCUGGGCACUGGCCCAGGCAUGGCUUCCUCCUAUAAUUCCUAGGACACCACAAGCCUUCUGGUUCUCAGCUGUUGCUAAUAACAUGGGGGCUGGGCAUGGCAGUGUACUCCUGUAAUCCUAACACCAACACCGGGAGGCAGAGG